AGAGUUUGAUCCUGGCUCAGGACGAACGCUGGCGGCGUGCCUAAUACAUGCAAGUCGAGCGCGGGAAGCAGACUGAAGCCUUCGGGCGGACGUCUGUGGAACGAGCGGCGGAUGGGUGAGUAACACGUGGGCAACCUGCCUGUAAGCUCGGGAUAACUAGCGGAAACGCUAGCUAAUACCGAAUAACGCUGCGCACCGCAUGGCGCGCAGAUGAAAGGCGGCGCAAGCUGCCACUUACAGAUGGGCCCGCGGCGCAUUAGCUAGUUGGUGGGGUAACGGCCUACCAAGGCGACGAUGCGUAGCCGACCUGAGAGGGUGAUCGGCCACACUGGGACUGAGACACGGCCCAGACUCCUACGGGAGGCAGCAGUAGGGAAUAUUCCGCAAUGGGCGAAAGCCUGACGGAGCGACGCCGCGUGAGCGAUGAAGGUCUUCGGAUCGUAAAGCUCUGUUGUUAGGGAAGAACAAGUACCGGAGUAACUGCCGGUACCUUGACGGUACCUAACCAGAAAGCCCCGGCUAACUACGUGCCAGCAGCCGCGGUAAU
rnacentral:rRNA from 1 species